rnacentral:rRNA from 1 species
UACGGAGGAUCCGAGCGUUAUCCGGAUUUAUUGGGUUUAAAGGGAGCGUAGGUGGAUUGUUAAGUCAGCGGUGAAAGUUUGUGGCUCAACCAUAAAAUUGCCGUUGAAACUGGAAGACUUGAGUGUGUUUGAGGUAGGCGGAAUGCGUGGUGUAGCGGUGAAAUGCAUAGAUAUCACGCAGAACCCCGAUUGCGAAGGCAGCAUACCGGCGCCCGACUGACGCUGAGGCACGAAAGCGUGGGUAUCGAACAGG